rnacentral:lncRNA from 1 species
UACAGAUGGGGUUUCACCAUGUUAGCCAGGAUGGUCUCGAUCUCCUAACCUUGCGAUCCGCCCGCCUUGGCCUCCAAAAGUGCUGGGAUUACAGGUGUGAGCCACCGCGCCUGGCCUGCUUGUUCAUUUUCUUAAAAGUGGAUGAUGGAGAUUCCCGAGUGAAAUGUCUGAAGACUGCUGCCUUGGGAACAGGAGCCACGGGACACUUUCUGCCUCCGGCUGCCGGCGGGUAACUCGGGCCUGGAUGGACUUCCCUGCCAGCUUGUUUCCCAAAUUGCCGCGCGGGCCCAGAAAAGAGAUGAGAGCAUAAACCCCUAGGGGGCGCAGUCCCCAGGAUCCCUGUCUUCAUGGAGUGGGGCUCAUGGGGUCAGGGCUUGGGUCAACUCCACUCCAUAGCACGAAAUGACUUCCUGGAGUCACGUGCGUGGGGGAGGCUUAGCCCCUGAAGGAGAGCCACCUCUCUUCAGUGACUGAUUGACUGUGCACGUGAAAUAUUUUAUUUUUUCUAUUUACUCUCACAGAUUUGGGUUUUCCCUCCUCUCAUCCUUCUCUCCCAGCCACACUCAGGCCUGGGGCUCCAUUCUGCUGCCCACAAGGUACGAAGUGGGUUAGAAGCAGCAAGGGGACCCACAGGCAAAAAUACUCCUGGGAGACAGUGGCGAGGGGCACAUGUUCCCCGGGGCUACUAGGAAGUGGCCCCAGAUAACGUCUCAGCUGAUGACAGACUUUUAAUCACUAAAAGGUAAACACUAAUGUGCAGGAAUCCUGUUUGUUUGCUCACAGAUGUACCUGACACACAGUAAGUGCUCAGUAAAUGUUUGUAGAGUGAC